AUUGCUUCUUGGCCUUUUGGCUAAGAUCAAGUGUAGUAUCAAGUGUAGAUAUGUUUGUUUAAUAGGUAGCCUUUCAGAAUUCAAAUGAACAUUUAAGCAGAACUCCCUCGUGUUCUCUCUUAUUUAAAGAAAAUGAAGAACUAAUUCAGCUAAGCAGGCUGUGCUGAUUUUAUUUGGAAUUC